rnacentral:lncRNA from 1 species
GUGUUCGUGCUGAUCAAUUACAUUUUUCUUCACUCGUUAUUCUUGUCUAUUUCAAAUCUUUUGAAUAAUAUUACCAGUCAACAUAGACAAUUUCAAGCCAAUUACCAACAAAAACAUGCAAAAAUUCCCCAUAAAUGUGGCAGGGAGUCAUCAAAUCACACAAGCUCUUCCUUCUCUACAAAUGGGAAAACUCUCAGCUAUUGCAAUCCUUGCAUUGUUUUCAAUCUUAUUACUUGACCCAAAAAACUGUUUAGCCUCGUCACCUGUUCCUUCAGUUCUUAGUGAAUGCAGAAAAUGCAAGACGGGCACUGAUGAAUGGAAUUACCAUGCUCGAGUUCUUCGAGGUCGGGAUAAAGAUCAACCUAGAGGGAAUCAACCAGCUCCUGUACGCCCUCCUGGCAAUCGUCCAUAGCUUUCGUGAAAAGAUUUGCAUGAGAUGAAAAACCUCGCCUACUGGACAAUAAACUCAAAUCCUGAGCCUCCUACUAUUACUUAAACUCGAAUAGCUAUAGACCCAAGGUGUAUUCAGGGCCAACCAAGCUAGCUACACCGUGGGGCAUAUUAGUCAACAAAUGUAUAUUUUCUGUACGAUUGAUGUACAAGUUCGUGAUAUAUUAAUUAUUAGUUUCCUAGUUUCAGUUCUAGUAAUCCACGGAUGAUUAAUUCUACUCAAUUCUGUAUCGAUCUUAUCUUAUAUGUUGUUUCUACAGUUGUUGAAUGAAUCUUCAAGCCAGAUUCACCUAUGUUUACCUCCAUUGUACUUGUGUGCAUUUACAAAUUUACAGCAAG